UACGGAGGGUGCAAGCGUUAUCCGGAUUCACUGGGUUUAAAGGGCGCGUAGGUGGGCUUGUAAGUCAGUGGUGAAAUCUCUGGGCUUAACCCGGAAACUGCCAUUGAUACUAUAGGUCUUGAAUUCUCUGGAGGUAAGCGGAAUAUGUCAUGUAGCGGUGAAAUGCUUAGAUAUGACAUAGAACACCCAUUGCGAAGGCAGCUUACUACGGAGACAUUGACACUGAGGCUCGAAAGCGUGGGGAUCAAACAGG
rnacentral:rRNA from 1 species